CUUUUCACUCUGUUGUUUUGUUUCAAGUUGUACACUUUGUUUGUCUACCUUGUGGCUUCCUGUACGUUAGUUUUGGAUUCUUGGAACUUUAAAAAAAAAAAAAUCAAUAUUAUUAUCUCUCUUCACUGUGGAUUUGCCGCACUCAUAUUUAAGCUUUGGAGUUUUCCGCCAACAGCACGGGGGUGGACCAGUGCGCAGGCCAAGAGGCGGGAGAACCAGACAUCGCCAGUUAACGCUUUAAGGUGUCAGUACUAAGGAAUCCGACACUGACCCACUACCGAUCUCAUAGGGAUGCCACUCCUGCUACUCGGGUGUCGUUCCUGUAAACCUCAAUGCCGCUGAAUUCAGGCAGGCACUACGGGACAAUAUUGCAGACAUACCUUUGCAGUUCGAUCUAUGCAAAGUGAAUGGACAGCGGCUCAUUCUUCCUCUUGAAGAGGAGACGCCCAAGAAAUUAGAGCAAGAAACCUACUGGGUCGCUCCAAUCUUUAUAUCCGUCCAAAGAUUACAGAAGCCAAUGACGACUCAACUGGUGGAGAAGUGGUGCAGUCUGAAAUGGCAAUUGUGCUGCAUGACACAGAGACACCUGACCAUGGCAGGCACAAUGUACAGGAGCCAGAGGUUAUCAGUGGUCUGCAUGAAAACCAUACAGCUAAUUCUAGUAGGCCUGGUCUCCAGGAACCAGAGGUUAACAGGGAAGAGUUUUACAUCGACUCUGCAGAGUCAGAAGUAUCAGACCUGGAUGAGGCUGUCCUGGCUUCCCCUGAACAAAAUGAUUCACAUGAUGAGAUGGACCUUGCUACUGUCCUGAAAGACUUCCAGGAAACGCAUCUUGACACCAGCAAUUAUUGUACAGUAAUAGCCCGACGAAGGAAAAUCCUACAUAGUGCCUGCAUGGCACUUUCAAGUCAUAUUUUGCCUGGCAUAAAUUACCAAACAUUGAAUUCGUUGGUGAAAUGGCCGAUGAUUAUGGAGGCCCAAGGCGG
ensembl:lncRNA